CGUUGGGAGCUCUCCCAUAUGGUCGACCUGCAGGCGGCCGCGAAUUCACUAGUGAUUAGAGUUUGAUCCUGGCUCAGAACGAACGCUGGCGGCAUGCCUAAUACAUGCAAGUCGAACGAGACCUUCGGGUCUAGUGGCGCACGGGUGCGUAACGCGUGGGAAUCUGCCCUUGGGUUCGGAAUAACUUCGGGAAACUGAAGCUAAUACCGGAUGAUGACGAAGUCCAAAGAUUUAUCGCCCAGGGAUGAGCCCGCGUAGGAUUAGCUAGUUGGUGGGGUAAAGGCUCACCAAGGCAACGAUCCUUAGCUGGUCUGAGAGGAUGAUCAGCCACACUGGGACUGAGACACGGCCCAGACUCCUACGGGAGGCAGCAGUAGGGAAUAUUGGACAAUGGGCGAAAGCCUGAUCCAGCAAUGCCGCGUGAGUGAUGAAGGCCUUAGGGUUGUAAAGCUCUUUUACCCGAGACGAUAAUGACAGUAUCGGGAGAAUAAGCUCCGGCUAACUCCGUGCCAGCAGCCGCGGUAAUACGAAUCGAAUUCCCGCGGCCGCC
rnacentral:rRNA from 1 species